UACGUAGGGUGCGAGCGUUAAUCGGAAUUACUGGGCGUAAAGCGUGCGCAGGCGGUUAUUUAAGUCAGGUGUGAAAGCCCUGGGCUUAACCUAGGAAUUGCGCUUGAGACUGGAUAGCUUGGAGUGCGGCAGAGGGAGGUGGAAUUCCACGUGUAGCAGUGAAAUGCGUAGAGAUGUGGAGGAACACCGAUGGCGAAGGCAGCCUCCUGGGCCAGCACUGACGCUGAGGAGCGAAAGCGUGGGGAGCAAACAGG
rnacentral:rRNA from 1 species